UACAGAGGUCUCGAGCGUUGUUCGGAUUUACUGGGCGUAAAGCGUGUGCAGGCGGGGGUACAAGUGGUGUAUGAAAUUUCCCAGCUUAACUGGGAAGGGUUAUGCCAGACUGUACUUCUGGAGUGCGAGAGAGGGGCGUGGAAUUCCGGGUGUAGUGGUGAAAUGCGUAGAGAUCCGGAGGAACCCCAGAGGCGAAGGCGGCGCCCUGGCUCGCAACUGACGCUCAGACACGACAGCAUGGGGAGCGAACGGG
rnacentral:rRNA from 1 species